GACGAACCGAGCGACCGUUAUUCGGAAUCACUGGGCUUAAAGGGUGCGUAGGCGGGCCCGUCAGUCAGGGGUGAAAUCCCACGGCCCAACCGUGGAAGUGCCUCUGAUACUGCGGGCCUGGAGGGGGAUAGGGGCGUGCGGAACUUCCGGUGGAGCGGUGAAAUGCGUAGAUAUCGGAAGGAACACCGGUGGCGAAAGCGGCGCGCUGGAUCCCUACUGACGCUGAGGCACGAAAGCGUGGGGAGCAAACAGG
rnacentral:rRNA from 1 species